rnacentral:rRNA from 1 species
GACGAACGCUGGCGGCGUGCUUAACACAUGCAAGUCGAACGGAAAGGCCCUGCUUUUGUGGGGUGCUCGAGUGGCGAACGGGUGAGUAACACGUGAGUAACCUGCCCUUGACUUUGGGAUAACUUCAGGAAACUGGGGCUAAUACCGGAUAGGAGCUCCUGCUGCAUGGUGGGGGUUGGAAAGUUUCGGCGGUUGGGGAUGGACUCGCGGCUUAUCAGCUUGUUGGUGGGGUAGUGGCUUACCAAGGCUUUGACGGGUAGCCGGCCUGAGAGGGUGACCGGCCACAUUGGGACUGAGAUACGGCCCAGACUCCUACGGGAGGCAGCAGUGGGGAAUAUUGCACAAUGGGCGGAAGCCUGAUGCAGCAGCGCCGCGUGCGGGAUGACGUCCUUCGGGUUGUAAACCGCUUUCGCCUGUGACGAAGCGUGAGUGACGGUAAUGGGUAAAGAAGCACCGGCUAACUACGUG